rnacentral:rRNA from 1 species
UACGUAGGGUGCAAGCGUUGUCCGGAAUUACUGGGCGUAAAGAGCUCGUAGGUGGUUUGUCGCGUUGUUCGUGAAAACCUGAGGCUUAACCUUGGGCGUGCGGGCGAUACGGGCAGACUGGAGUACUGCAGGGGAGACUGGAAUUCCUGGUGUAGCGGUGGAAUGCGCAGAUAUCAGGAGGAACACCGGUGGCGAAGGCGGGUCUCUGGGCAGUAACUGACGCUGAGGAGCGAAAGCGUGGGGAGCGAACAGG